rnacentral:rRNA from 1 species
AUUGAACGCUAGCGGGAUGCUUUACACAUGCAAGUCGAACGAGUGGCAGACGGGUGAGUAAUAUAGCGGAACGUGCCCAGUAGCGGGGGAUAACUACUCGAAAGAGUGUCUAAUACCUCAUACUAUUGGAGCCGCCUAUAGCGGAUUAUCGUGUUGGUGGGGUAAAGGCUCACCAAGGCAACGAUCCUGAUCUGGUUUGAGAGGACGACAGGCCACACUGGGACUGAGACACGGCCCAGACUCCUACGGGAGGCAGCAGUGGGGAAUUUUGAACAAUGGGGGAAACCCUGAUCCAGCCAUCCCGCGUGUAUGAGAAGGCCAUCGGGUUGUAAAGUACUUUUGGCAGAGAAGCGGUAUCUGCAGAAUAAGCACCGGCUAACUACGUGCCAGCAGCCGCGGUAAUAC